rnacentral:rRNA from 1 species
UACGUAGGGUGCGAACGUUGUUCGGAAUCACUGGGCAUAAAGGGCGCGUAGGCGGUUCAAUAAGUCAGCUGUGAAAUCCCCCGGCUUAACCGGGGAACGGCAACUGAUACUGUUGGGCUUGAGUGCAGGAGGGGAGAGCGGAAUUCCUGGUGGAGCGGUGAAAUGCGUAGAUAUCAGGAGGAACGCCGGUGGCGAAAGCGGCUCUCUGGUCUGCAACUGACGCUGAGGCGCGAAAGCUAGGGGAGCAAACGGG